AAGUCAAGCUACUAAGGGCAUACGGUGGAUGCCUAGGCGCCAAGAGCCGAAGAAGGACGCGGUAAGCUGCGAAAAGCCACGGGGAACUGCAAGCAAGUAUUGAUCCGUGGAUAUCCGAAUGGGGAAACCCGGCCAUCGUCAUGGAUGGUCACCCGCAAGGGAGGGAACCUGGGGAACUGAAACAUCUAAGUACCCGGAGGAAGAGAAAUCAAACGAGAUGCCCACAGUAGCGGCGAGCGAAGAGGGCAGAGCCCAAACCGAGAAGCUCCGGCUUUUCGGGGUUGAGGACCGGCAGAAUCGAAGUCAGGCCUAGUUGAAUUACCUGGAAAGGUAAGCGAGAGAGGGUAAACGCCCCGUAGACGAAAGGCAGAGCAGAGAGGCCGAGAUCCAGAGUACCACGA
rnacentral:rRNA from 1 species